rnacentral:lncRNA from 1 species
UUCUUUUUCUUCUCUUUUUUUUUCCUGUCCAAGAGCUAUAUGAUGAGCUGUAGUCUUUGUUAAUGAAAAUACAGUGGUGGAGGAUGGAGCAGUCUGAGUGCCGUAAGGGCCCUCCCCAGGAACACUGAUGGACCUUCACGCUUUGUGCAGUUUUCAAAAGCUUCAAAUGUCUGAGUCCUUUGACUUUAUUACCUGGGAUUUCCAGUGACCGCUGUUCUGCCAGUUGCUAGAAACAUUGGGAAGGACCUCGUCUCAGAGUGUGUUCACCAUUAUACAGCACAGGG